AUAAGACGAACAAAAGGUUUCU
rnacentral:miRNA from 1 species